rnacentral:rRNA from 2 species
UGGGGAAUAUUGCACAAUGGGGGAAACCCUGAUGCAGCGACGCCGCGUGAGUGAAGAAGUAUUUCGGUAUGUAAAGCUCUAUCAGCAGGGAAGAAAAUGACGGUACCUGACUAAGAAGCCCCGGCUAACUACGUGCCAGCAGCCGCGGUAAUACGUAGGGGGCAAGCGUUAUCCGGUUUUACUGGGUGUAAAGGGAGCGUAGACGGCUUUGUAAGUCUGAUGUGAAAGCCCGGGGCUCAACUCCGGAAUUGCAUUGGAAACUAUAGAGCUAGAGUGCAGGAGAGGUAAGCGGAAUUCCUAGUGUAGCGGUGAAAUGCGUAGAUAUUAGGAGGAACACCAGUGGCGAAGGCGGCUUACUGGACUGUAACUGACGUUGAGGCUCGAAAGCGUGGGGAGCAAACAGG